UACGAAGGGGGCUAGCGUUGCUCGGAAUCACUGGGCGUAAAGGGUGCGUAGGCGGGUCUUUUAAGUCAGGGGUGAAAUCCUGGAGCUCAACUCCAGAACUGCCUUUGAUACUGAGGAUCUUGAGUUCGGGAGAGGUGAGUGGAACUGCGAGUGUAGAGGUGAAAUUCGUAGAUAUUGGAAGAACACCAGUGGCGAAGGCGGCUA
rnacentral:rRNA from 1 species